rnacentral:rRNA from 1 species
GAUGAACGCUGGCGGCGUGCUUAACACAUGCAAGUCGAACGAUGAAGCCCAGCUUGCUGGGUGGAUUAGUGGCGAACGGGUGAGUAACACGUGAGUAACCUGCCCUUAACUCUGGGAUAAGCCUGGGAAACUGGGUCUAAUACCGGAUAGGAGCGUCCACCGCAUGGUGGGUGUUGGAAAGAUUUAUCGGUUUUGGAUGGACUCGCGGCCUAUCAGCUUGUUGGUGAGGUAAUGGCUCACCAAGGCGACGACGGGUAGCCGGCCUGAGAGGGUGACCGGCCAGGAGGGGACUAGAAGACGGCCCGGGCGCACACGGGGUGCAGCGGUGGGGAAUGGUGAAUGAUGGGCUACAGGCUGAAGACGCCACGCCGUGUGAGGGAAGCGGGACUGCCGGUUGGAAAACAAGAGCCGCCGGGAAAAUACGUGAGUGCAGGUACCUGCAGAAAAAGCACCGGCUCACGACGUG